UACAGAGGGUGCAAGCGUUAAUCGGAGUUACUGGGCGUAAAGGGCGCGUAGGCGGGUUGUUAAGUUGGAUGUAAAAUCCCUGGGCUUAACCUAGGAGUGUCAUCCGAUACUGGCGAUCUUGAGUACUGUAGAGGGUAGUGGAAUUUCCGGUGUAGCGGUGAAAUGCGUAGAGAUCGGAAGGAACACCAGUGGCGAAGGCGGCUACCUGGACAGAUACUGACGCUGAGGCGCGAGAGCGUGGGGAGCAAACAGG
rnacentral:rRNA from 1 species